UGCAAGCCAAGGAACACAGGAAGACUGCCAGGAAACUGCCAGCAGGCUGGAGAGAAGCAAGGAGCAGCCCUCCUCAGCUCACAGAGGGGCUCAACCCUGCUGAAGGUCUUCGUCUCCCGCUGUCUGCAGAGCUGCGAGGUAGCUAGCCUGCUUCUGCUGCGCAAGGCAUCCAGUCGGAGCAAGGUCUGCUGAGGCAUGGUGCUGUGCCCAGGGGAUAUGCAUGUAGUCCUGAUGGCCCAGGCUGCGUCCCCAGAUGUUACAUCUUCUGAGGAAGGGCAGAAGUAGCGGGCAGCUCACAUAGGAAGCCAGCUUCGCAGUGGGCAGCCGGCAGAUGACGAUCAGGAGACAAGCAGGGCAAGGAGACCUGUCUACAUGUACUUUGUAAAGAAGCUGCAGUUGGACCCAGCCUGUCCAGCUGCCCAGAUCAGCCACAUGGAUACAGCCUUUCCUAGUCACUAACACAGACCCACACGCACAGCCACCCAGAAGUCAUCCCUGGAACAUGGGAGUGCAUAUGAGUGCAGAGACCAGUCAACCCCUCCAACUCGCACCCCCAGCCCUCAUCCUUAACUUUUGCAAUGUUUGUGCUCCAGACCAGAAGCCAUUUGUACAGUAACUGGCCUGGAUCCUUUUAGAAGAAAAAUGUGAUUUUCUUUUCCACUCCACAGGCUCCCACUUCUCUCCCCUCCAUCCAGGCCUUGUUUAUUUCAGUAAAGAAACAGCCUUUGAAGUCCUCCAAGAGGGACAGGGCGGCACUACAAACAUCGAGAAGCAUGCCACAUGUUGGUUGGAACAUGGAAGUUUUACCUGGAACGCACCGGUUCGUCUAGACUGGCAGGCCUGUAAGCGCCCCUGGAUCCUCUUGUCUCUUCCCAGUGUCGUGACUAGAGCACCGCCCCGCUGUGCUCAGCUUUUUGACUGAGCGCUGAAGGUCUGAAGUCGGGCACUCAGGAUUGUGAAGCAAGUGCCUUACCAACUGAACCACCUCCAAGCCCUCUACAAGAACCUUUAAAAAGUGUCUUCACCCAGGCAGUAGUGACCGCUCCUAUCUCAGUCUCCCAGCUCUUAAUGUUUUUGUUUGUUUGUUUGUUUGUUUUUGUUUUUUGGAUUUGGGUUUUUUUUUUCAAGACAAGGUUUCUCUGUAUAGCACUGGCUGUCCUGGAACUCACUCUGUAGUCCAGGCUGGCCUCGAACUCAGAAAUUUGCCUGCCUCUGCCUCCCAGAGUGCUGGGAUUACAGGCGUGUGCCACCACCGCCCAGCCUAGCUCUUGAUGUUUAAAUUAA